GGUUGUUAUCAUAAUUCUUUUAUUUGUUUUUUAAUUAAAUGGUGAGGAAAAACGGGGGAUUUUAAUUAUUUUAUUUUAUUUCUUUGUAAUUUUUUGUCAAAUCCCCCACGUUUUCCAUUCAUGUUUCACGUUCUUUUUGUUUUUUUUUCUUUCUUUCUUUCCCUUUCUUUCACCCACACUUAUUGUUUCAUUAUGUUCUUGAUUCCUUUGCUAUUUUGUUUCAAUUUCUUCGCUAUGUUUUGGUGUGUGGUUCAACCUUUGCCCCCUUUCGCGAUUUUAAUUUUUCGAGUAUUUGGGAGUAAGUGUUUUCUAAUGAUUUUUAUAAGGUUUUUUUUUCCAAUUUUUUUAAGGGAAGUGACUUUGGUUUUUGGUUCUAUGUUUGGAUGCAAUUAGGAGAAGAUCGUGAGACGGUAGAACCUCCAGUGAAUUAAGUUCUCAUUUUAAUUUGUUGUUACGGUCGAGGGUAAGUAGUUUCGUCGUGUAGGAGUUAUUUUUGUUAUGUUACUAAAGGUUCUUUUAACGUUGGUGGUAUCGAUUCGAUCAAUCGGGGUUAGCAAAAAUUGUGUUGAUUAACAUGUAUGAGUUGUUGGUUU
rnacentral:lncRNA from 1 species